AGCCGAAGCGAAAGCAAGUCUGAAUAGGCGUAUAGUCAGAGGGGUAGACGCGAAACCUUGUGAUCUACCCAUGACCAGGUUGAAGUUGCCGUAACAGGUAAUGGAGGACCGAACCGAUAAGCGUUGAAAAGCUUCCGGAUGAGUUGUGGGUAGGGGUGAAAGGCUAAUCAAACUGGGAAAUAGCUCGUACUCCCCGAAAUGUUUUUAGGAACAGCCUCGAGGUUGAGUGUUAUAGAGGUAGAGCUACCGAUUGGACUAGGGGGCUUCACCGCCUACCAAAUCCUGACGAACUCCGAAUACUAUAUCAUAUACUCGGGAGUGAGCCCAUGGGUGCUAAGGUCCGUGGGCGAGAGGGAAAGAACCCAGAUCAUCAGCUAAGGUCCCCAAAUUUAUGUUAAGUUGAUCUAACGUGGUCCGAUUGCAUUGACAGCUAGGAUGUUUUGCUUGGAAGCAGCCAUUCAUUUUAAAGAGUGCGUAACAGCUCACUAGUCGAGCGAUUGGGCGUGGACAAUAAAACGGGCA
rnacentral:rRNA from 1 species